rnacentral:tRNA from 1 species
UCCUCGAUAGCUCAAUGGCAGAGCAACCGGCUGUUAACCGGUAGGUUCUAGGUUCGACCCCUAGUCGAGGAG